GAUGAACGCUGGCGGCGUGCCUAAUACAUGCAAGUCGAGCGAACGUACGAGAAGCUUGCUUUUCUGAUGUUAGCGGCGGACGGGUGAGUAACACGUGGAUAACCUACCUAUAAGACUGGGAUAACUUCGGGAAACCGGAGCUAAUACCGGAUAAUAUUUUGAACCGCAUGGUUCAAAAGUGAAAGACGGUCUUGCUGUCACUUAUAGAUGGAUCCGCGCUGCAUUAGCUAGUUGGUAAGGUAACGGCUUACCAAGGCAACGAUGCAUAGCCGACCUGAGAGGGUGAUCGGCCACACUGGAACUGAUACACGGUCCAGACGCCGACGGGAGGCAGCAGUAGGGAAUCUUCCGCAAGGGUCGAAAGCCUGACGGAGCAACGCCGCGUGUGUGAUGAAGGUCUUCGGAUCGUAAAGCUCUGUUAUUAGGGAAGAACAUAUGUGUAUGUAACUGUGCACAUCUUGACGGUACCUAAUCAGAAAGCCACGGCUAACUACGUG
rnacentral:rRNA from 1 species